GACGCUGGCGGCGUGCAUAACACAUUCAAGUCGAACGGUGACGGGGCUUCGGCCCCUGAUCAGUGGCGGACGGGUGAGUAACGCGUGAGCAAUCUGCCUCUGUGUGCGGGAUAACAGCCGGAAACAGCUGCUAAUACCGCAUAACGUAUACGGGUCGCAUGUCCUGUAUACCAAAGGUUUACUGCACAGAGAUGAGCUUGCGUCUGAUUAGAUAGUUGGUGAGGUAACGGCUCACCAAGUCGACGAUCAGUAGCCGGACUGAGAGGUUGAACGGCCACAUUGGAACUGAGAAACGGUCCAGACUCCUACGGGAGGCAGCAGUGGGGAAUAUUGGGCAAUGGGCGAAAGCCUGACCCAGCGACGCCGCGUGAGGGAAGAAGGUCUUCGGAUUGUAAACCUUUGUCAACAGGGACGAACAGAUGACGGUACCUGUGGAGGAAGCCACGGCUAACUACGUG
rnacentral:rRNA from 1 species